rnacentral:rRNA from 1 species
UACGUAGGAGGCGAGCGUUGUCCGGAUUUACUGGGCGUAAAGCGCGCGCAGGCGGUCUCGCGCGUCAGCUGUGAAAGCCCCCGGCUCAACCGGGCGGAUGCGGGUGAAACCGCGCGACUGGAGGGUGGGAGAGGUCGGCGGAAUUCCCGGUGUAGUGGUGAAAUGCGUAGAUAUCGGGAGGAACACCCGUAGCGAAGGCGGCCGACUGGACCACACCUGACGCUGAGGCGCGAAGGCCAGGGGAGCGAACGGG